ACUUGUGGCUGGGGGUGAAAGGCCAAUCAAACCGGGAGAUAGCUGGUUCUCCCCGAAAGCUAUUUAGGUAGCGCCUCGUGAAUUCAUCUCCGGGGGUAGAGCACUGUUUCGGCAAGGGGGUCAUCCCGACUUACCAACCCGAUGCAAACUGCGAAUACCGGAGAAUGUUAUCACGGGAGACACACGGCGGGUGCUAACGUCCGUCGUGAAGAGGGAAACAACCCAGACCGCCAGCUAAGGUCCCAAAGUCAUGGUUAAGUGGGAAACGAUGUGGGAAGGCCCAGACAGCCAGGAUGUUGGCUUAGAAGCAGCCAUCAUUUAAAGAAAGCGUAAUAGCUCACUGGUCGAGUCGGCCUGCGCGGAAGAUGUAACGGGGCUAAACCAUGCACCGAAGCUGCGGCAGCGACGCUUAUGCGUUGUUGGGUAGGGGAGCGUUCUGUAAGCCUGUGAAGGUGUGCUGUGAGGCAUGCUGGAGGUAUCAGAAGUGCGAAUGCUGACAUAAGUAACGAUAAAGCGGGUGAAAAGCCCGCUCGCCGGAAGACCAAGGGUUCCUGUCCAACGUUAAUCGGGGCAGGGUGAGUCGACCCCUAAGGCGAGGCCGAAAGGCGUAGUCGAUGGGAAACAGGUUAAUAUUCCUGUACUUGGUGUUACUGCGAAGGGGGGACGGAGAAGGCUAUGUUGGCCGGGCGACGGUUGUCCCGGUUUAAGCGUGUAGGCUGGUUUUCCAGGCAAAUCCGGAAAAUCAAGGCUGAGGCGUGAUGACGAGGCACUACGGUGCUGAAGCAACAAAUGCCCUGCUUCCAGGAAAAGCCUCUAAGCAUCAGGUAACAUCAAAUCGUACCCCAAACCGACACAGGUGGUCAGGUAGAGAAUACCAAGGCGCUUGAGAGAACUCGGGUGAAGGAACUAGGCAAAAUGGUGCCGUAACUUCGGGAGAAGGCACGCUGAUAUGUAGGUGAAGCGACUUGCUCGUGGAGCUGAAAUCAGUCGAAGAUACCAGCUGGCUGCAACUGUUUAUUAAAAACACAGCACUGUGCAAACACGAAAGUGGACGUAUACGGUGUGACGCCUGCCCGGUGCCGGAAGGUUAAUUGAUGGGGUCAGCGCAAGCGAAGCUCUUGAUCGAAGCCCCGGUAAACGGCGGCCGUAACUAUAACGGUCCUAAGGUAGCGAAAUUCCUUGUCGGGUAAGUUCCGACCUGCACGAAUGGCGUAAUGAUGGCCAGGCUGUCUCCACCCGAGACUCAGUGAAAUUGAACUCGCUGUGAAGAUGCAGUGUACCCGCGGCAAGACGGAAAGACCCCGUGAACCUUUACUAUAGCUUGACACUGAACAUUGAGCCUUGAUGUGUAGGAUAGGUGGGAGGCUUAGAAGUGUGGACGCCAGUCUGCAUGGAGCCGACCUUGAAAUACCACCCUUUAAUGUUUGAUGUUCUAACGUUGACCCGUAAUCCGGGUUGCGGACAGUGUCUGGUGGGUAGUUUGACUGGGGCGGUCUCCUCCUAAAGAGUAACGGAGGAGCACGAAGGUUGGCUAAUCCUGG
rnacentral:rRNA from 1 species